AACGCAUAUUGCGCCCUCUGGUAUUCCGGGGGGCAUGCCUGUCCGAGCGUCAUUACAACCUUCAAGCACGGCUUGUCUGUUGAGCGUUCUGUUCUUCACGAACAGGGCUCGAAAUGCAGUGGCGAUGGCGAGACUGUGCCCGAGCGUAUGGGGCUUUGUCGCACGCUCUGGUGGCUUCAGCUUGCAUUCUGCCGAAACUGUGUAUAUAUUAAUUAUAUACACACUGAAUCCAAAUCUGAUUGACCUCGGAUCAGGUAGGGAAACCCGCUGAACUUAA
rnacentral:misc_RNA from 1 species